UUUUCAAAACUUUUUGGAAAAAUUUCAAAUACCAUCCCUGUAGUUUUACACUUUCUCACUUUAGUAUUUUGUGGUUUAAAGUGUAUCAAUUUAGUGUCUUGUGGUUUCAUUUUUAUUUUUUUAUUAUCGGUUUUACUAAUUUUUUUCGUUAAAUUAAUGACAAAAUUAAAAUUAAAGAGUACUAAAGUGAAUAUUCGAUAAACCUAUGUGGGGUAUAUGAAGUUUUUUGUAUAUAAUUUAAUUAAAUAUUAACGAAAAAGCUGAUAAAAAGAUAAAAAAAGAAACCACAUGACACUAACUUGAUACACGUUAAACCACAGAAUACCAAAAUGAGAAAGUGUGAAACCACAGUUAUGGUAUCUGAAGUUUA
rnacentral:lncRNA from 1 species